UACGUAGGGUGCGAGCGUUGUCCGGAAUUAUUGGGCGUAAAGAGCUUGUAGGCGGUCUGUCGCGUCUGCUGUGAAAAUCCGGGGCUCAACCCCGGACUUGCAGUGGGUACGGGCAGACUAGAGUGUGGUAGGGGAGACUGGAAUUCCUGGUGUAGCGGUGAAAUGCGCAGAUAUCAGGAGGAACACCGAUGGCGAAGGCAGGU
rnacentral:rRNA from 1 species